GCCUUUCCCUUAGAAAAGACUCAGCCACCACCCUCAGUCCAGUUGGGUAGUUUUGGCAUGGCACCACCCUCUCCCCAUGCAGGGGACUCCUUGAUCUUAGUGCCAUGGGCCUGUCAGACUCCUCUCACGGUGACCUUGGAGACUCUGAGAUACUGCAUCUACAGGAGAAGGCCAGUAGACUGCUACACAGAAGGUGGAUAUGCUGGGAGGAAUAGAAUACACUGAGCAGGGUUGGGGUCAAUUAAAUGUAAUUCAGUCAGUUGCAAUGUGGAGAAUUGGAUUAGUCUUACAAUUUGAAAAAAAAAUGUUUUCAGUGAGCACUCACUCAGUAGUGGAUCUAUCCUCAUCAGCUCUGAGGGCCUGGGCUGCUCCAAUUUGUCCUCCUCUGUGAGCAUAGAUGAGCCAGUCCAAAGGCCUAUAAUUACCAGACCUAUCAACUCAACCACUGGUGAGUCAUGUGGGUUGGGAAGUUCAAAACAUCUGAUUUGCAUGAAUUUCCCUGGUCUCAACCACAUUAUAUUGCUUUUUCAAACUCCCAUAGCCACUGUUAUUCUGUGCUCUUGCCACGUCCCUCAUUUCUCAUGGUCACCAUUUAGUUUCCUUUUGCAACUUUCUUUAUUUUCACACACAUUGCAAUAACUCUUCUUGUGCAACCGCUUCCUCAAGUUGUGGGGAACCUAAGCUCAGCAGACCUCUAUGCUGGAACCGUGCCCAAACUGUCUGUGGUUGGUCCCCCUGAUCCAUGCACACGCCCAGAGGAGGACAUCCUGUUUCAGUGGCGCCUGAGGAGGAAGAUGGAGCAGGCCAGUCGGUGGUCACACCCACAUCAGGUUCACACCCUUCAUCAGCACUCUUUCAGCUGGCAGUCACACAAGGUACAGCGGAAUCCCCACCCUGCAUAUUCCACUCAUAUAGUUACCCGCUCCUUCACCCCAGCCCCCCAGGAGACCAGUGUCCCCCAUGGACCAUUCUCCCCUGCAGCUGCCCUCCCCAUCUCCAGCCCCACCGUCUCCAAGUUGCAGCCGGAUACCCCGGUCUGUCCCCACAUGCACCACCUCUGUGACAUCCUUCCUUAUACCGCUCAGCCCCUCUCCCCUCCACCCAGCCACCAGAGGAGCCCAAAGAGGAGGUCUCUAGGGCCGACCUGA
rnacentral:lncRNA from 1 species